rnacentral:sRNA from 1 species
UGAGAAAGUACUGCUCAAGACUUGGAGACUCUAUUUUCCAUUUAAAUUAUAAACAGCGUC